rnacentral:rRNA from 1 species
UACGGGGGGUGCGAGCGUUGUCCGGAAUCACUGGGCGUAAAGGGCGCGUAGGUGGUUUGAUAAGGGUGUGGUGAAAGUCCGGGGCUCAACCCCGGAUCUGCCGUGCCGACUGUCAAACUCGAGGGCUGUAGAGGCAGACGGAAUUCCGGGUGUAGCGGUGAAAUGCGCAGAUAUCAGGAGGAACACCGGUGGCGAAGGCGGGUCUCUGGGCCGAUAUUGACGCUGAGGAGCGAAAGCGUGGGGAGCAAACAGG